CUGCGGCAGCGACACUAUGUGUUGUUGGGUAGGGGAGCGUUCUGUAAGCCUGCGAAGGUGGCCUGUGAGGGUUGCUGGAGGUAUCAGAAGUGCGAAUGCUGACAUAAGUAACGAUAAAGCGGGUGAAAAGCCCGCUCGCCGGAAGACCAAGGGUUCCUGUCCAACGUUAAUCGGGGCAGGGUGAGUCGACCCCUAAGGCGAGGCCGAAAGGCGUAGUCGAUGGGAAACGGGUUAAUAUUCCCGUACUUGGUGUUACUGCGAAGGGGGGACGGAGAAGGCUAUGUUGGCCGGGCGACGGUUGUCCCGGUUUAAGCGUGUAGGUGUGUGUUCCAGGUAAAUCCGGUUCACUUUAACACUGAGGCGUGAUGACGAGGCACUACGGUGCUGAAGCAACAAAUGCCCUGCUUCCAGGAAAAGCCUCUAAGCAUCAGGUAACACGAAAUCGUACCCCAAACCGACACAGGUGGUCAGGUAGAGAAUACCAAGGCGCUUGAGAGAACUCGGGUGAAGGAACUAGGCAAAAUGGUGCCGUAACUUCGGGAGAAGGCACGCUGACAUGUAGGUGAAGUGAUUUACUCACGGAGCUGAAGUCAGUCGAAGAUACCAGCUGGCUGCAACUGUUUAUUAAAAACACAGCACUGUGCAAACACGAAAGUGGACGUAUACGGUGUGACGCCUGCCCGGUGCCGGAAGGUUAAUUGAUGGGGUCAGCGCAAGCGAAGCUCCUGAUCGAAGCCCCGGUAAACGGCGGCCGUAACUAUAACGGUCCUAAGGUAGCGAAAUUCCUUGUCGGGUAAGUUCCGACCUGCACGAAUGGCGUAAUGAUGGCCAGGCUGUCUCCACCCGAGACUCAGUGAAAUUGAACUCGCUGUGAAGAUGCAGUGUACCCGCGGCAAGACGGAAAGACCCCGUGAACCUUUACUAUAGCUUGACACUGAACAUUGAGCCUUGAUGUGUAG
rnacentral:rRNA from 1 species